rnacentral:rRNA from 1 species
GACGAACGCUGGCGGCGUGCCUAACACAUGCAAGUCGAACGGAACUUCUUUAAAGGAUUUCUUCGGAAUGAAUUUGAUUAAGUUUAGUGGCGGACGGGUGAGUAACGCGUGAGUAACCUGCCUCUGAGAGGGGAAUAACAUUCUGAAAAGAAUGCUAAUACCGCAUAACAUAUAUUUAUCGCAUGGUAGAUAUAUCAAAGAUUUAUCGCUUAGAGAUGGACUCGCGUCCGAUUAGUUAGUUGGUGAGGUAACGGCUCACCAAGACUGCGAUCGGUAGCCGGACUGAGAGGUUGAACGGCCACAUUGGGACUGAGACACGGCCCAGACUCCUAC